CCGGGAAUUAUUGGGCCGUAAAGAGCUCGUAGGCGGGUUUGUCGCGUCUGCCGUGAAAAGUCCGGGGCUCAACUCCGGAUCUGCGGUGGGUACGGGCAGACUAGAGUGAUGUAGGGGAGACUGGAAUUCCUGGUGUAGCGGUGAAAUGCGCAGAUAUCAGGAGGAACACCGAUGGCGAAGGCAGGUCUCUGGGCAUUAACUGACGCUGAGGAGCGAAAGCAUGGGGAGCGAACAGGAUUAGAUACCCUGGUAGUCCAUGCCGUAAACGUUGGGCACUAGGUGUGGGGGACAUUCCACGUUUUCCGCGCCGUAGCUAACGCAUUAAGUGCCCCGCCUGGGGAGUACGGCCGCAAGGCUAAAACUCAAAGGAAUUGACGGGGGCCCGCACAAGCGGCGGAGCAUGCGGAUUAAUUCGAUGCAACGCGAAGAACCUUACCAAGGCUUGACAUGAACCGGAAACGUCUGGAAACAGGCGCCCCACUUGUGGUCGGUUUACAGGUGGUGCAUGGUUGUCGUCAGCUCGUGUCGUGAGAUGUUGGGUUAAGUCCCGCAACGAGCGCAACCCUCGUUCCAUGUUGCCAGCGCGUAAUGGCGGGGACUCAUGGGAGACUGCCGGGGUCAACUCGGAGGAAGGUGGGGACGACGUCAAAUCAUCAUGCCCCUUAUGUCUUGGGCUUCACGCAUGCUACAAUGGCCGGUACAAAGGGUUGCGAUACUGUGAGGUGGAGCUAAUCCCAAAAAGCCGGUCUCAGUUCGGAUUGGGGUAUGCAACUCGACCCCAUGAAUUCGG
rnacentral:rRNA from 1 species